GCCGGGCAUGGUGGCUCAUGCCUGUAAUCCCAGCACUCUGGGAGGCUGAGGUGGGUUGAUCACCUGAGGUCAGGAGUUUGAGACCAGCCUGGCCAACAUGGUGAAACCCCGUCUCUA
rnacentral:SRP_RNA from 1 species